UACGGAGGAUCCAGGCGUUAUCCGGAUUUAUUGGGUUUAAAGGGUGCGUAGGCGGCCUGUUAAGUCAGGGGUGAAAGACGGUAGCUCAACUAUCGCAGUGCCCUUGAUACUGACGGGCUUGAAUUGACUAGAGGUAGGCGGAAUGUGACAAGUAGCGGUGAAAUGCAUAGAUAUGUCACAGAACACCGAUUGCGAAGGCAGCUUACUAUGGUCAUAUUGACGCUGAGGCACGAAAGCGUGGGGAUCAAACAGG
rnacentral:rRNA from 1 species